rnacentral:lncRNA from 1 species
GAUGAUUCUUUUCAAUUUAGAUGGCAAUUCAUUUAUCAAAAUGUCAUCACAUCUCUUUAGUUCUAGCUCAGUGAUAUUAGCAGCCUUGGGAAUUGAAGCCGCCAACUCUUGGCAAUCAAUAAUCUCCAAUUUUUGCAAAGAAGGGAGGUGUUGAGGAAGGGCACUUUUCAACUUGGGACAAUGUUUUAUACAAAGCUUUUGAAGCAAAGGGAAACCUUCAAGACAUAACCAUUCCUUCCAUUCAGCCAUGUUUUCAAAUCGCAAAGUUUCAAGGGAUCUAAAUGGAACAUCUGAUGAAUUAUAGCCGAGAAACUCUGUACCAAUAAUUUCUAUUCCAUCACAGCUUGAAAUGGAACACUUCUUGAGAGAGGGAAACUGCCCAAGCGGUGGCAACUGGGAAUGGAUUUUACAUCCCAACAAUUCAAGAGAUACUAAAUUUGGUAAAUGACGAUCCCCAAGCCAGUUUGGAAAGCUACCGCCUCUGUAGUCUUUGAUGGUUAGACUCGUGAGGUUUAUAUUUGGUUGAAGAGCCUCCAAGACAGAGGCUUGUGCUUCAGUUACUGAUCCAUCCAUUUCUCUCCAUUCAUUGUAUGACAUACUUAAAUCUUCUAAAUGUUCUUUAUCUUCCAAAUUUGCUGCCACAGCAUGUGCAGGAUCAUUGACAUUUUCCAACCCUGAAAUUUGAAGCUUUCCAUGAAGUUGGUUGAGUUUCCCCAACAUUUUAAUAUCAAAUCCACGCUGCUCUCCCACAACAAAAUCAGUCAGCAUCUCAAGAUUGUUUAACCGUUCUAUCUUUGUUGGCAUCUUCUUAAUAUGAGUGCCUGUCAGAUUAAGAUGACGUAAACUGAUGAGCUUGCAAAAAUCUGUUGGAAGUUCAAGCAAUUUGAAACAUUCUUCCAAUAAGAGUGUCUGUAAAUUAUACAACAUACAAAUGGAAUUAGGUAAGCUUGCAAUCUCAGUGUGCGAAAGGUCCAGAUAGCGCAGAAGCUUUAAAUUUCUUAUCCCAUCAUCUAGCAGUAAGAGGUUGCAACCAGAGAAGGACAACAUCCGCAAAAGUUUUACUCUUGAAAACAAAUUAUGUUGCACAACGGUGCUUAUCUUAAAGCGGUGGGGACCAUAGCCCUGUGCGUCUACUAUCAAACUGCGUAGUCCAUUACAUCUAUGAAGAUACUCUAGUUUUCUAUCACCAUCUUCAAAAUCAAGGCAGCACCAAAUGUGGCGCGCCCGAGGUUUGUGAUAUUCCUCAAGUAGAAAGGGCUGUUUUCCUGCCAUUGAUUUCGCUAAAUCAUUGACAAGAUCAUGCAUGACGAAGUAGUAUUUGUCAGCCCAUAAUGGCAUAAUUACUGAUUGUUGGAAAAAAGAUAUUGACACCAAAUGAUUGAAGAAUUCAUUACCUAACUCUUGUUCGCUUUUGUCUCUUUUGUGACACUUCAACAAACCUUCUGCCAUCCAAAGUUUAAUUAGUUCACCCUUCUCAAGCUCAUAGCCCUUGGGAAAUAUAGAACAAUAAGCAAAACAACGCUUCAGAUUGGAAGGGAGGAUAAGGUAACUCAAUCUCAGUAACAAGUUAAUGUAGAUUUCACCCUCGGGUAAACGCCACAAAUCAGUCUCCAAUACCUUAAUCCAUUCAGAUUCAGAGAAUUUUUUUAGCAAGAGAUUCCCCAAUGUUUUCAGUGCUAAAGGCAACCCCCCACACUUUUCUACUAUUUUCUUGCCUAUCAAUUCAAGAUUUGGAUAUUCAAAUACAUUCCUACCUUGAAAAGCAUAUCUCACAAAUAAACUCCAAGAAUCACUCUCCUCCAAUUGCUUUAAGUGUAUUAGCCGGGUGGAUCUCAUGAUUGAUGCUACUUCCUUGUCAUGUGUUGUCACAAUCAUCUUACUUCCUGAAGAUCCACAUUUCAAAAGAAUUUGUAACUCCUCCCACGUAUUCUCGUCUAUUUUGCACACACCAUCUAGAACAAGCAAAUAUUUCUUGCCCGUUAGCAACUGCAGAAAUUGAUGUUGGAGUAUUUCAAAGUCUUCACUAUUGUCUGUUGAAAUAUGAAAUGAGCUAAGAUUUAAUCCGGUGGGACUAACAAGAUUAAAAGAUUCUGGAACAUUCACCCAAGCUUUAAGUUCAAAAUGCUCCGUGAUCAUGUCGUCAUUGUAAACAAGCUGGGCGAGAGUUGUCUUACCCAUCCCCAUCAGACCCACUAUACUAAUUAUGGGUGCAAGGUUGUCACUGUGAAUGUCAGAAAGUAAAAAUUUAAUUAAUUCCUCUUUCUCAUGCUCUCUACCAUUCAUGACAGAUUCAUCUAUCAAAGAUUUAGUUCUAAAUUUUCUUAACAAUUUCUGACUGACUCUAACUCGAUAACGACCGCUAGUUAUAUCUUUAAGUCCUAAUAAUUCCUUUUUAAGUGUAAGUUGGUGCAUCUCCAUCAACAAUACUUCCAUCCUAUAUUGACAUUGAUUAAUAAAACCUGAAAGAAUGCGUUGUAUCUUGCCCAUUUGUUGUGCGUCAGUCGCAAUCACAUCCAAUAGUUGAUCUAAUUCGUAUACAUAAUGUUUGAGCGAAACUAGCCAACUCUUUAUUCGUGGGACUCGGUACUGCUUCAUCUCUGCGUCAUCCAGCACUUCAUAUAACAAAUCCAGUGUGUUUUCAAAUCUUGUUAUCUGCCUUUUUUUGAAGUCUGUUGAAGCUAACCUCUCACGAAUCACUUGAAAGGCAGACGAAAGAAAUGCCCCAGGAAAAACAACCAUUGCCAUGAUAUAAAUUAAGCAGUAUUCUUCUGAGCGUGGUUCGCAACUCUGGGAGGCUAUCUGCAAGAAUAGAUGGUUAUGUAUCCUUCUGUCUAGUGAAAUAGAACAAAGUUUAUAUGGCUGAUUUUUUUUUUUUUAGUUUUGAUGAACAUAAUUUUAAUUAUUGAGUGAAAAAUACAUAAUUUUAGUGAUAUUUCAUUUACAAAAAAUACCUAAUCAACAGUUAAAGUCUUCUAUUGUAUAAUUGUGGUUGGACUCAAGUGGUUAAUGAACUAUAAGGACCAAUCAUCUGAGUUUAAAUCUAGCUAGAACAAUCUGUUAGGAACCAAAUGCUAAUUUCCCUUUAUACUCGAUAGGUAAAAACUAUAUCAGUAUUAUUAGGAUAUAAUUAAGAGAGACAGAGAGAGAGAGAGAAAGAGAGACAAACCUGAGCUUGUUUUCAACUGAGUGAGACUGAGAUUGGUAACCAAAAAGAGAGAAUAUAGAAUGAAUGAGGGAAUUGAAGGCAGGUAUUGUAGAAUAGAAGCAUAAAAAUGAUAUGAUACACUUUUUAUUAGAUUCAACGGAACAAGAAUUCCACACCUACCAGGAUGUUUCUUUCUUUUAUUUGUUUAUUGUUACUUUAUUACUACACAUGUUUCAAGAAUAUAUAUUUAGAGCUGUCAAAACGGGCGGCCCGGCCCGUUUAGGCCCGGCCCGGCCGGGCCAAGGGCUUUUAAGGGCCGGGCUAAAAAGCCCGGUUUGAAUAUGGGCUGCAAAAAAUGAGCCCGAGCCCGGCCCUAUACGGGCUCCCGGGCUAACGGGCCAGCCCUGGCCCGUAUUUUUUUCCUUCCCUUUUCCAUUCUUUUAAGUACGAAAUACAUAAAUAUACCGGGCUAACGGGCCAGCCCGGGCCCGUAUCUGUUUUUUUUUCUUUUUCUUCCCAUUCUUUAAUGAUUGAACAUAAAUUAUAAUAACUUAAAUAUACACAAAUUUAUGUUCAUUUUCCUGGAGGUAAGCUUGAUAUUACCGGGCUGGUGUUUCAUUUUCUCCAUGCCAACUCCUGUUGGUUAAUGUACCCUAAAAUCCAAAACUGUAAUUAACAGAGACAGGCAUCAUGUAAAACAGUAGAAGUAUCUAUUGUUUAAUCCUUCAACUAGGAUGACAAUCCUUCAACUAGGAUGACAAUAGGCUUCCAUCAAGCUAAUUAUCCAGAAUGAAGAUUCUAAAUUCAAAUUACUAAUUAUCCAGAAUAAGUAAUAACAAUAACAUAACAAAAGUUUUAAUCCAAAAAGUCACUCCCAACAAAGUCACUUAAUCUUCUUCAAGGUUCACAACAUCCACAGUACUAUUUGAUGCUUGUCCACUUCCAUGAGUUUCAUCUUCUUGAACAUCAUUGUUGUCAUCAUAUAAUUCUACAAAUUACGAAAUUUGAUUGUUAAAUAUAGAGAUUAAAAAAUCACUUCAGUAUUGAUAACUAAAAAUAAAUUAAUUCUGUGAGAAUAUUGCAUACUAACUAUCUAAUCUAGCAUACUAACUAAAAAUAAAUCAAUUCUAUGAGAAAUUUGAUUGUUAAAUAUUGAACAAAAAUCAAUCAUGAAAGUCCAAGAAUAUUGCAUACUAACUAUCUAAUCUAGCAUUCAAGAUUUAAAGCAACAACAAAAUGAGCAGAUGCUUCCUUUCAUCUAGGCUCAAAUGGCUCAUUCUAGCAUACUAACUAUCUAAUCUAGCAUACUAACUAAAAAUAAAUCAAUUCUGUGAGAAAUUUGAUUGUUAAUGUUAGAUACUAACUAAGUUUUGAAAUGAGCAGAUGCUUCCAUUCAAGAUUCAAGAUUCAAGAUUUAAUGUUAGAUGCUUCCUUUGAAAUGUUUUGAUUCAUAAAUUAAAUUGUCAUAUAAGUUUUCAUUCAUGAGUUUCACAUCAAACUCAUUUCAGUCAGUUCUAUUGACAAUAAUAUAAACUAUAAAACAAUUGUAAAAAUGAUAGAACUAUAAAAACCAUACCUUCAAAACCAUGCAACCAGCUACGUGCGCACAAGAGAGCCUGAACAGAAUCAUCUUUCAUUGAACUUCUAUACCUAUUCACAACUCGGGCGCCAAUACUAAACGCAGAUUCUGAUGCCACCGUUGUUAUUGGAAUACUCAAUAUAUCGCAAGCCAUCCUUGCAAGAUUUGGACUUCUACGACUUCUUUCCUUCCAAAAAGCUAAGACAUCAAAUUCUGCAGAUAGAGGCAUCCGCAACUCAUCUAAAUAAGUAUCAAGUUCUGAUUUUCCGGUGUUGCUACUUGAUUGGCUUUCAUACUCUUCAAAUUCCUACAAAUCAUCCAACCUAACCAAGUUACAAAAUAUUCAUACAAACAAAAACAAAUAAUUAAUAAAAGAAUAAAAUAAAGAAAGAAUGUAUGAACUUACAUCAUAUGAAGAUGACGUAAUUCGAGUUCCUCCACCAUAGCUAGGCUGGACUUGUGAAGAGCUUAGAUUAGAAGGAAUUCCAUUCUUGAUGUACUCGGAAAAAAGCUUCCCCAAAGUCAUCUUAACUUUUUUCAACUUCUCCUCACUAGUGAGUGGGUCAAGUUUUUCAUAAGCAAAUUUCAAAAAGUUAAACUUUUUGGUUGGAUCAAGAACAGCCCCAACUGCCAAAACAACAUUAUAGUCACUCCAAUACUUAUCAAAUUUCACCUUCAUACUUUCAGCCAUCUUUUGAAUCAAAAGAUCUUCACUUCUCAAAUAAGAUCUUAUGAGGCACUCAAUCUUCCAUAUUUCACCAAAGUACAGAUUUGAUGUAGGAUAUGAAGAGCCGGAUAUCAAGUUUGUAAUAGUGAAAAAUGGCUUCAAAAUCUCACACAUUAUUUCAGCCCUUCUCCACUCCUCACUUGUAGGACAACAUUUAAAAUUUGAAUCCCGUAAACUUAAGCUAUAAAAUGCACGACGAUAAACAAGCGCACUCUGUAGCAUUAUAAAAGUGGAAUUCCAUCGAGUAACACAAUCUAAUCUCAAUCCUAUGGUUGUAUCAAUAUCACCAACAGUUCUAACACAUUCGGAAAAAAGUAGUGUUCUACUUUCUGUUACCCUCACAUAAGCCACACUUUGUCUAAUCUUAUGCAAAGCAUCGCUAACUACCUUGAGUCCAUCUUGAACAAUGAGGUUCAAGAUGUGAGCUGAGCAUCUUAUAUGGAAAAAUUCUCCAUCAAGCAACAAACUAUUUGAUAACCCUAGAUGCUCUUUCAAAAAGUUAGCCAUACUGUUGUUUGCAGAAGCAUUAUCUAAAGUGAUGGAAAAAAUUUUCUUUUCAAUGCCCCAAUCAUCUAACAUUUCUAAAACCUUCAAAGCUAAAUCUCGCCCACUAUGUGGGGGUUCCAUGUGAGCAAAUGCUAAAAUUUUACUUUCCAACUUCCAAUUCACAUCAACAUAAUGAGCAGUUAAAGAAAUAUAACCUUCAUUGCUGCAUGCCGUCCAACAAUCAGAAGUCAAGCAAACUCUCCCUCGAAUUUGAGCUAACUGUGAUUUCAGCUUUUGUUUCUCAUCACGAUAAACAUUCAAAAUAUCUUUGGCUAUAGUAUUUCUACUAACAAAAACACAAUCAUCAUUCAAAAACUUUUGGUAUUCUCUAAACACCCUCCACUCAACCAUAUUAAAUGGUGCACCAUGUGUAAUCAUGAUUCUAGCUAAAAUUUCUCGAUUAGCCAUAGGGUCAAACUUUUUCUUUCUCAAUUUUCCUUCAGCAUCAAUCAUCAUUUCACCCACAUCAUGAUUUUUGAUAGUCUUUCUACAACUAAGUACGUGACGCUUUAAAUGACUAGUUCCGCUUCCUGAUUCACAAGUCAAUAAUUUGUGACACGCCUUGCAUCUACAUUUCUCUACUCCAUCUACAAUACCAACUUUCACAAGAUAUAGCCACACGUCAGAUGUUAGGGCUUUACCCUUGCUCUUGACCUUGCCCGUAGCCUUGUCCUUAGCCUUAGCCUUGCCCUUACGCUUCUUAUCCUUUGGAUCAGAAGACACUUCUUGUGUAUUUUGAUCAAUUGGUGGUGGUACUAGUGGAAUUUCCCUAGCUUGGCUCUCAAUUUCCCCAUCAACGCACAUAUUCUGAAGACUUCCACUACCAUCAGUAUCACUAUCCCUCAUAUUUGAAGCACAAACAGAUUGUAAUUCCUACAUAAUUAUAUGCCAAAUUAUAAAUUCAUUAAAGAUUACAUAAUAGAACACUAGAACAGACUAUGUGCGCAAAACAAAAUAGAACAGACUAUGUGCGCAAAACAAAAUAGAACAAUUCAUUUAGAACAGACUACCAUCACAUCAGUACGACAGUACCGACCCAAAUUCAUUAAAACAUAGUUUUCAACUUGUCAUUUAGAACAAUUCAGUACCGACCCAAAUUCAUUUAGAACAGACUACCAUCCAAUUUCAUUCAGUACCGACCCAAAUUCAUUAAAACAUAGUUGUCAUUUAGAACAAUUCAGUACCGACCCAAAUUCAUUUAUUCAAACCUAUUCAAACCCUAAUUUCACAUUUUAAGUUUUUAACAGAUAAACAAAGAAAAAGAAACAAACCUCCAAAACGAUGAAGAAGAAGAAGAAAUAGAGGUGUUGAGCUUGAAUUAGAAACUUGCUGAGCCUGAAUUAGAAACCAAGAAAACGAUGACUAUCUGCAUAAAUUGUUUGCUUCCAGAAUCCUGAGUCAUAUCAUUCAAUGUCCAGAAUCCUGAGUCAUAUCAUUCAAUGUCCAGAAAGAGGAAUGAAGAAAGGAAGAAACGACGAAAAUGAAGAAAGGAUGAAAACGAACCUGUGUGAUUUCAGCUGCCAGAAUCGGAAUCGCACGGUGUGAGCUUGAAUCCUUGAUGAUCGGAAUCGCGCGGCGCGGCGUGAGCUUGAUGAAUGGAAGAAUCGGAAUCGCGUGGCGUGGAGAAGAAAAGAGUUUGACGGAUGACGGUGUGUGACUGUGAGAACUGAGAGAGUGAGGCCGCUUGAAGCCUUGAACGCUGAUGGCUGAUGUCACAUACUCACACAUACGUGAGUUGUUGAGUUAGGGUGGGUAGGGUUUUUUUAAUUUGGGCCGGAUCCCUAAUAUCCAGGCCCAGCAGACACCACACGAAAAAAAAAAAAAAAUGACCCAUUUUAAUUUUUUGCGGGCUGUCGGGCUGCCCGUGGCCCGAACGGGCUCCGGGCUUUUCCGGGCCGGGCUAAAAAGCCCUGGAAAAAUUCGGGCUCCAAUUAUUAGGCCCAAGCCCUAUAUUUUAUGCGGGCUUUCGGGCCGGCCCAUACGGGCCGGCCCAUUUUGACAACUCUAUAUAUAUUUGUUGAAAAAUGAUGUACAUUUCUACAUAUUUCCACUAUAAUAGUACGUUAAAAAGAUAUGGAAUCACUCCUACUUGAGUAGUUAGUAAAAUAAACUAAUACCACAUUUGUAUAAGAAAAUGUCAUGAACAUUUCUAUUGAUAUUUGGCAUCAAAAGGUAUAAAAGAUAAUCUAGUAUGAAGAUCUUGUCACCCAUAUUACUUCUUGACAUAACUUUUACUUAAACAACAUAACUUUGACCAUAUACAUAGAUGAUACAUCGAUAGUUAUAAAUAAUUGCGUUAAAUCUCCAUUCAAUUACUUCCAUUUAGAAAUUUUUGACAAACUUUACCAUUCUUUUAGCAUGUGUCAAAUACAAAAAAAAAUCUCGUGGGACUUUGCGGAUCAUAUUUUCCAUAAGUGCAUUAAUAUAUGGAUAGUUGCCUCAAUUACCCUUAUUCUAUCAUUUACAUGGGUACAUGAACAACUUGCAAAUUUUUCCCUUCAUCACAAUUAUAAAUACCUCUUACCUUAUUCACAAAUAUUAAAAAAUAAUUGUUGAAUUUGAAAGUGAGAAAAAAGGGAUUGAAUUUGAAGGGCGGCAUUUAGUCAAGCAAACCUAACGAUCAAACUUGACAAAUGAAAAAUAAGUAGUCUUUAUGUAACCUUUUUACUUCAACAUAAUAUUUAAAGAAAUUUUGAUAAAAUAUCCUCUGUAUUUUCAACGUUGCCAAGAUCUGAAUCUUGUUUCAACUAUAUUAUCAUCCAGAGUAUCAAAAUGACAUAUUUACAUACUUGUACAACUCAAAAUAGAACACUCCUAGAAUUCAAAUAACCCCAAAUACAUAUACAUAAACAAAAGAGACAUCCAUCAAAGAGCCUACCAAAAAGAGUGACAUUGCUGAACUUUGAGUCUAAGAACAAACACAUAACACAUAUGUUAGUAGCACAAACGAGAAAAAAUCUACCACUGUGACAAAAUAAAAGUGACUUGCAAACUCACACUUUCAAAUUUGUAAAAUUGACACCUAAAUCAUUGAUUUAAUAUCUGAUGAAUUAAAACUGAUAUGUCAACAUGAACUAAACGAAUACUGCAACAAGACAUCAAACCAAACAAUGUUGCACCAAGACGACGGAUAAAACAUCCAACUCAAACGACAAAAUCACAAAAGAAAAUUCAGAUCAAUGCAAAAAUUACUUCUUUAUUAAUUUAGAUAAAUGGAGAGAAAGCGAUACAAAGGGUUGCAUCCCAAGUCUUAAAAAUGCCCUAAAAUAACCCCUCUAGACACAAAAAUAAAAAUAAAAAUUGGACGUUCCAGUUCCAAGUUCCACGAUGUAUUUUAGACUUGACUUUUCAAAGUUAUAGCAUGAACUGUAUGAUAUUCGAAUGCCUAGAUUGUAAGAAUUUGUGAUGUGAUGAUACAUAUACAAAUGAGGUGAUGUGGCACUAAAGUAAGGCAAAUGAAUGACUUCUCAUAUUUACACCUAUUUUUAAAUAAAAAAUAUCUUUUAAUCAUUUACACAUUUUAAUGAAAUAUAUUUCUCAUUAAAACUAUGCAAAUUUGCUUAAAAAAAAAUUAAAACUAUGCAAAUUCUAUGGUAUUUUCAAAAAUUUGAAUGUAUUGGUACAUCAAAUUUUUAAAUUAAUAGUUAUGAGUUUUUUUAAAGAAAAAAUUAUUCUCUAUCUUUUAUAAUUAUAAUAACUAAAUAUUAUUAUACUAAAAACGUCGGCGAAAUAAAAUAUAAUUUUGCUGAAUUUUUAUUAAUCGUAAUAGAGAAUAUUGCUUAUUCUUUACAAUAAAAUGUAACAAAUUUAGUAUGUUUUUUAUAAACAAUGAAAUGAUAUUUUUUUUUAUUUCUUUUUUUAUAAAAUGAUAUUAUCUAAAAUAUAAAUGUCGAAAAGUAUCUUUUUAUUUCAUAAAAAUAAUCGUUAAUGUGUAUAUUUAAGAAGCUCCAAGAGUACCGAUACGCCUUAGUUUGCGAAUGUAUCCUAGAAGUUCACUUAAAACUAUACCUAAAAAAACUCAUUAAACUAAACAAAAAAACAAAUAAUUAAAUCAUUUCAACCCCAAAAUUAAAAUAGAUCGUGAAAACGACCAAUCCCCAGAUUGAAAAUAAGAAGAACAUUUGUAACCAGGGGCGGUUUCACCGCCCGGCGACACCGGGCGGUCGCCCGGGCUCGAUCGAUAAUUAAUGGCGGAUCUUCCUUAGAACCCAUGGUACCGCAAUGUUUCUAUAUAUAUUAUAUCGGGCAUUUUAUUUACAUAUUUUUCAAUUAGCGCAGUGGAGAAGCAGUUGCUAUUUCUCUCGGACGUCGCGGGUUCGAUUCUUCCUUCUUGUCCCUUUUUUAUAUUUCUGUAUAUAUUUACUUUUUUGUCAAAAAAGUUCCAUGGUGGGAAUCAAACACACACCUCUGAGCCAUACUCAUGCAAAUUAAACCACUACAGCAGUUAACAAUUUUGAUUAAUUUUUCAAACAGCUUAAUAUAUAUUUCAUAGAAUUUUGGUACCCCGAGAAAAUAACUCAAGAUCCGCCACUGCCGAUAAAUCCUUCAAACAACUUAAUAUGACGAUCCUUUUUUAUUUUUAUAUAUGACUAUUUAUCUAUAUAUAUAUAUUUUUUUUUUUUGAAGGAAGGAAUUUAUAUAUAUAUUAUGUCACAUGUGAAUUUGCGAUAAAUUUUUCGCCCAGGCUCUAUGUAAUUCCUGGCUCCGCCACUGUUUGUAACAACCCAAGAGAAUCAACAACGCCAUAGCCAUCCCACAGGCGCUUACCAAAUUCAAAAUUUGAAAAGGCCUAAUUGCCUAUUAAUUUCUAUUUGCACUAGUAUUUGUUGGCAACAAUCCCGGCAUCGAUGGUUACGUGAAGGGGAUGCGAAUUCCAAUUUUUUUCAUAACAUUAUGUCUAGUAAUAGUCGUUGUAAUGCUAUUCCUUUCGUCUUUGUGGAUGGUGUGUUGGUUGAAGGGGUAGACAAUGUUCGGUCAGCAGUGUUUCAACAUUUUUCUUCUCAUUACAAAGCUCAUACUGCUAACCAUCCUAGUAUGGAGGGUUUACAAUUCCGUUCCUUAUCUGUUUGCGAAGGGACUGCGUUAACAAAACCUUUCUCUUUGGAGGAGGUGAAGGUGGCCGUUUGGGAUUGCGAUGACUUCAAAAGUCCGGGACCUGAUGGCAUUUCUUUUCGGUUUGUUAAAGAGUUUUGGGAUCUGCUGAAGAGUGAUGUGUUGCGUUAUUUGGUGGAAUUUCACAGGAAUGGUAAGUUAGUAAAAGGAAUUAACAGUACAUUCAUCGCUCAUAUUCCGAAGAUUGAUUGUCCUAAAAAAUUGAAUGAUUUUCGGCCCAUUUCUCUGGUUGGAUGUUUGUAUAAAAUUUUGGCUAAGGUUCUGGCAAAUAGGCUUCGAUUGGUUAUUGGUUCGGUUAUUUCUGAUGCUUAGUCGGCCUUUAUUAAAGUUCGUCAGAUUCUAGAUGGAAUUUUGGUGGCCAAUAAGGUUGUUGAUGAUGCAAGGAAACGUAAUAAAGAAUUAUUACUUUUCAAGGUUGAUUUUGACAAAGCAUAUGAUUCCAUUGAUUGGAGUUACUUGGAUUUAGUGAUGGUGAAAAUGAAUUUUCCGACUCUUUGGCGUAAGUGGAUUAAGGAGUGUGUGGGGACGGCCACAGCUUCAGUGUUGGUUAGUGGGUCUCCUACAGAUGAAUUCUCUUUGGGGUAGGGGUUUAAGGCAAGGAGAUCCUCUCUCACCCUUUUUGUUUCUUUUGGCGGCAGAGGGGUUUCAUGUGUUGAUGGAAGCUUUUGCAAAUAAUAAUCUCUUGUCUGGUUAUAAGGUGGGCAGCCAUGAGCCGGUGGUGGUGUCUCAUCUUCAGUUUGCGGAUGAUACAAUUAUCUUAUGCGAAAAAUCUUGGGCUAAUGUCAGAGCUUUGCGGGCCAUCUUAUUGCUUUUUGAGGAUCUCUCUGGUCUUAAGGUGAAUUUUUCUAAGAGUCUUUUGGUCGGGGUUAAUGUUGAAGGGUCGUGGUUGUCAAGGCUUCUAUGGUGAUGAAGUGUAAAAUUGGUACCAUUCCGUUUAUGUAUCUUGGUUUGUCUAUUGGCGGGAAUGCUAGUUGAUUGAAUUUUUGGAAGCCGCUUAUUGAUCGAAUAAAUUCUAGACUGUCGGGUUGGAAGUCGAGACACUUGUCCUUGGGUGGCCGUUUGGUUUUACUGAAAUAUGUCCUGUCAUCACUCCCUGUUUAUGCUCUUUCUUUUUUAAGGCUCCGUCAGGUAUUAUUUCCUUUAUCAAUUCUAUUUUAAAUAUUAUUUUUUUUGGGGGGGGCGGGGGAGUGUAGACCAUAGGAAAUUUUUUUGGGUUGACUGGGAUUCUAUUUGUCGGAGUCAGGAGGUUGGAGGAUUGGGGGUAAGGAGAAUAAAAGAAAUUAAUUUGGCAUUGCUAGGGAAGUGGUGUUGGCGGAUGUUGGUGGAGAAGGAUAGUUUGUGGUUUAGGGUGUUGGCAGCUAGGAAUGGUUUAGAGAACGGAAGGUUGAGGGUUGGAGGUCGUGAUAGUUCUUUGUGGUGGAGGAAUGUUGCGAGUUUGAGAUCGAACGGGUGGUUUUCUAGUAAUAUUUCUCGCUCCUUGGGUGAUGGAAAAGAUACCAAGUUUUGGUCGGAUGUUUGGGUGGGUGAGGUGUCGUUAAGGGCUAGAUUUUAUAGGUUAUUUGAGUUGUCGUUGUUGAAGGAUGAAUCUGUGGCGGUGAUGAAAGAGUUAGGGUGGGGGGUGGAUGGAGGGGCGUGGAGGUGGAGACGUAGGUUGUUUGUGUGGGAGGAGGAGUCGGUGGAAGAGCUUAUUAUUUUACUUCAAAAUGUGACUUUACAGGUUCAUAGAGAGGAUCAAUGGAUAUGGAAGCCAGACUUGUCUUCAAUGUAUUAAGUUCGCAGUGCAUAUACAUCUAUUAUCGCACAAGAUGUUGUCGUCACAAUGGGGAGAACACCUUUUAUUUUGUAUAAGGAUGUACCGCUUAAGGUUUUGUUAUUUGCGUGGCGUUUGUUUCGUGAUCGACUUCCUACAAAAGAUAAUUUAUUUAGGCGUCAGAUGUUGCAAUUCGAUGAUCAAUUGUGUGUGGGUAGUUGUGGAUUGUUUGAAAUUUCCACUCACUUAUUGUUUCAUUGUACGUUUUUUAGUACAGUUUGGAAUUAUAUUCUUCAGUGGCUUGGAGUUGUUACGGCAUUACCUUAUGAUGUCUUUGGGCAUUUUACUCAAUUUCAACACCUUGGUGAUGUCUUUAAAUCGAGGCAAUCAAUUUUACAGAUUAUUUGGUUUGCAACAGUUUGGGAAAUUUGGAAGGAAAGGAAUAGCAGAAUUUUUAAGGCUAUAGAUAGCUCAAUCUUACAGGUGGUCGAUAGGAUUAAGUUACUGACUUUCAAAUGGUUGAAGGCGAGGUUUAUAACUCUUCCCUUCAAUUAUCAUGGUUGGUGGAUUAGUCCGUUUACUAUUUUAGGCAUAGGUUAAUUCUUUGGUGGAUCCGGCAUGUUGUGCGGUGUAGGCCUUUGUCUUGUAAUUAUUGUAUAGUCGUUGUUUAACUCUUUGGGUUUUCUUCCUUGGUUCACCUUGAGCCAGGAAGCCCUAUGUUGUGGUAAUAUAUCUCAUUUUAGUCUCUUCAAAAAAAAAAAAAAAAAUCUAUUUGCACUAUAUUAUUAUUAUUUUUUUUUUAUAAAAGUAAACGGUAGUCAUUUAUUUAAAUUGAUAAAGUACAUGAUACAAUACAAAUUAAAACUAACUGAAAAUAAAUAUGAUUAUAUUCAAAUUUUUGAAUUUGCAACAUCGACGAUGUCUAAAAUCGUUGAUUAAAUAUGCUCUUGCUCAAAACUAAUCUUUCAACUUGAAUUAAAUAAAUACGGCACUAAGAUACUUAAAUAUUAAUGCCAUAAAGAAAACACACUUUUUUUUUUGGUAGUGAACAAUAUCAUUUUUUUUUGGUAGUGAAAGAAAACACACUUUUAACAAGAACACAUGUAAACGGGUAUUUAAAGACCAUUUGAAAAUUACACAAAUAAAGGGGGUAUUUAAAGGUGAAACAAAACUUUUGAUUAUAAUUGGACAAAACCACUCAAUAUCCAUGCAACCUAACAACAAGAACAUAAUUUAACCAUAAUUCAACAACGUAAAAUAAAUAAUAAAAUACAAACUCUUCCAGAUAUCUAUGAAAGAUCUGGCCAAGUAACGUCCAAUCUGAUCAAUCCUUUAGACCCAUAUUGAUUAAAUAUUGAGAAUAUGGUUCUCACGUCGUUGUUCCUGAUCUUCAGUUGGGUGAAAUGGACGCUUCCAUCCGAGACGAUCGAUGGAUGCCGAUACUCAACAUUGUCCACCCUCUUUGUGUCUUCGUGGUUGAGUUGACGAUUGAUUUGGUCCAACUAAACCCAAGCAAUUUAACAUCAACCCGAACCCUGAACCGAUUGAGUUUCCCCCGUUGUAGUAAAUUGUAGGUAGUUUGGUGUUUAGAUCUAUCGGAUAAGUGUUUAUGAUUCUUUGUUUUGUUUUACAACAAAUAAUCAAAAAUGUCUAUUUAUAAAAGUUUUUGUGCGUCGUGGACCACAUAAAUUCUCAGUGUAACCUGAAUCACACAAAGAAUCUCUAGAACGACGACAAUUAACAACCGCAGCUGGCUACGACAGUUACAGAGGCCAAGAUUGAUAGCACCUCAAUUUGUAUGUGUUUUUUUUACUAUUUCAUACAUACAUUCAAUCAUUAUUCAUACAUUUGAUUCAACCGCUCAUUCGUUCAUUUAAUAAAUGGAAACACAAUUUAUUGGAAAACAAAUUCAUUCAUUAUAAAAAAUUAGGUGUUGGUGACAUUAAACCAAAUUAAAAUGCAAUCAAAUAGAAAAAAAAUUCAUAAUUUACAACCAAAUAAAAAAUAUAGUCUCAAUCACGGUGCUCUGCCCUGCCUCAACCACCUCCUCCAUAUGGUAAUCAUAUAUGUAGUGGUUGUGGUGAGCAUCUCAGCCUUAAUCCUUAAAAUAACAUCAUGCAUGUCUUUGUAUGUUUGACCAUCAUGCAAUCCCUCAACAACCAUGUUUAUGCAACUUCUAAUGAUCAUCAAUGAAUCAAGAUUAUCCCUAUAGUAUGUUACUACUCAAUGAUUACCUCCACAUUAUCCAUCCAAAAUUAGUUUGGUAAUCUAAUACCACCACAUGAAGUGGUGCUUGAACUACCAUGAGAAGCUCCAUUAUUGUUAAACUUAAUCAAGGGGUAAACAUGCAGAAGCCAAAUAGCCUCUUUGAUUUUAGGAGCAUUUGUCAGGUGAAUUUCAAUAGAGAAAUUUUAAGGAUAAAAUAUCCAGACAUGUUGGAGAGACGUCAAGUGUAAUUACCAUUUUGCAUUGAGACGAUCAAUCCACAUCACAGAACAAGUAAUUAGAAUAUUAAGAACGUAGCUGGUAUCAAUUUGUACACCAAUAAUGUAAAACUUAAAAGAUAUCUUAAUCCGAACAUAGUUGUGCUCAACAAUCUUGUUGGAGAGUUAUUGAUCAUUGUCCCUUUUACGUUUAGAGUGAUCAUAAUGUCAUUGUCCGUUCGGUUUUAAAGUGGUCUGCAUACCAUAGUCCCUUCCGUUUGUGAGUGGUCUUAAUGCCAUAUUUGUAGUUGCUGAGUGGAUUCUACCAUAUUUUCAGGUGCAAUUUUAUAACAGAUCCUACAAUGCAGUGGGAGUCCGAUACAAUUUUAGCUGAGUUGUUUUAUCUUGGUAACGUUGUGGUUGAUAAUAUGUUAGCACAAUUUAGGACAACAUCGUGAAACGUCUCAAAGAGAAUGACCUAGUACGCGACUCAAUCCCAUAAUAUUUUUUUGUGACAGCAAAUACUUAUGUGAUCCGGGAAAUUUUCUAAUGAAAUCAUCAAAGAAGGUAUGACUAUAGUAGAUGUACAUAAGAUGACCGAAAUAUUUUUUCUAAAUAACUAUUUGCUAUUUGUGUUAACAUGAUCCUAAACUUAAGUUGUGACAAAAUUUUGACAUGAUGGUACUUGUGUCCUUCCUCUACUUUUUUUUUUUUGGGGGGGGUGUCCAUCUUGUAUUGUUGCUAGUGUUAAUAUUGAUUGGCUAAAAAUAAUAUAUCUAAUUGCCGUAUGACUUUUUUGUUUACACAAGCACAUCAGAUGUAACACCAUGUUGUUAAAGUCUAACUCACCUAUUAACAAUGACAAAUAUGAAUCCAUGUAAGAAAAAUGAGAGAAAAAUUCUUGUAGACAGCCACUGCUUCUGUUUGAUGUUAUGUCAACAGAUAGAGCCUAAAGAAUUUGCUUAAAACAACAAAUUUCACUGAAAACAAAGUACCAUGACAUUCAAUUUUUUAUUUUUAAUAAUAAUUUUGACCGCUUCUUUCUAAAAGUAAAAAUGUUAAACUGAAAAUCGCAGUUAAAGAUCAUAUCAUCACCAUAGGCAAGUUAUUCUGCUCAAUCGGUUGGCACAUAUUGAAAAAACAGACAAUUAAUGUUGUCCACAUGAAUACCACAUGAAUAUUAAUGAGACCCCAAAAAAGGGAUACAAAGUCACAAGAAUAACAUAGAGAAGAUUACAAGCACAACAAGUCGCAGCGUCUACACAUCCAAAUGUCGAGCCUACAAUUGGACCAUGCAUGAGCUUUGUGGAAGUGGAAUAAACAGCUACAUACUUCUGGUUGUGUGUGAGAGCAGUGGUCAUGCCAUUCAUUUGGUCACGAGUGAGAAUGGAUGGCAACAAAAGAGCAUGGUUUCAGGUCACAUGUAAGCGGUCUGAAACACCAUUGUUACAUAUAUCACAAACACCGUGCACUGUUCAACAUAAAAGAUAGUAUCUUAUGAAUAAUUUUUACUAUGUAAGAGAAAAUAUACUAAUGUUUGACAAGUAUAAACAGAUUGGUGAAUGUGGUGCACCUGGCUAUAAUAACAUCUCAUCUCAGCCGCCAAUCAGGAAAUUGUCACAUCAGGAAUGUGACUAAUUGUAUGCCAACACUCUCCUUCCUCCUUUUGGUACUUCUGCUUAAUUAAUGGGCAAUCAUGAAUGGACAAAGUAGAAAGGGAGCUGGGUAGACACUCCUCCGGCAAGCUCUCAAGGAAAGGGCAGUCUUCAAUAUAUAGAGAUUCAAGUGAAGUGAGGUGGAGAAGACCCUUAUAGUUUAUUAUUCUUAGGUUGGAACAAUUUGUUAACUCAAGAGAUUUCAUAGUUGAUGGCAGCAGACUCUUCUCCGGAAAGGACUCCAAGAUUUCAAAAUCAUCACUUACACUGAACUGUUUCAGAGAAUUGAGUUGGAACAAACCCCACUCCUCUCUCGAAGCCAUCAAUUUAGGACAUCUUUCUAUUCGGAGGCUGCAUAGGUUGCAAGGCAACUGCCUCCAGCAAAACGAUUCCAGCCAUGGACUAUCGUACAACACCAGAGAAUGAAGAUUGGUGAACAAGUGCAGUGCAAAUGGCAAGGAGGAAGAGUGCCAACCUGUUAUAGUUAGAGUGCAAAGUGAAUUACAGCUACACAUAUCCAAAGAGGACCAUUCUAGAUUUUGACCAAAGAAGUCUUCAACUUCUAACACUUCAAGAAAGGCACUGCUAAAUAGAAUUUUCUCUAGGGCGGAUUCAAUGACCUGAGUUCCACAAAGGAUGGCCUUUUUCAAGCUGGAUGGCAAUUCAUUUAUCAAAAUGCCAUCACAUCUCUUUAGUUCUAGCUCACUGAUAUUAUCAGCCUUGGGAAUUGAAGCCUGCAACUCUUGGCAAUCAAUAAUUUUCAACUUUUGCAAAGAAGGAAGGUGUUGAGGCAGGGAACUUUUCAACUUCGGACAAUGUUUGAUACAAAGCUCUUGAAGCAAAUGAAAACAUUCAAGACAUAACCAUUCCUUCCAUUCAGACAUGUGCUCAAAUCGCAAAGUUUCAAGGGAUCUAAAUGGAUCAUUUGAUGAAUUGUAGCCACAAAUCUCUGUACCAAUGAUAUCUAUUCCAUCACAGCCUGAAAUGGAAAGCUUCUUGAGAGAGGGUAACUGCCCAAGUGGGGGCAACUGGGAACGAAGUUUACAUCCCAACAAUUCUAGAGAUACUAAAUUGGGUAAAUGAUGAACCCCAAGCCAAUUUGGAAAUCUACUGCCUCUGUAGUCUUUGAUGGUUAGCCUCAUGAGGUUUAUAUUUGGUUGAAGAGCCUCUAAGACAGAGACACGUGCUUUAGUUACUGAUCCAUCCAUUUUUAUCCAAUCAUCGUAUGACAGACUUAAUUCUUCUAACUGUUCUUUGUCUUUCAAAUAUGCUGCUACAGCAUAUGCAGGAUCUUUGACGUUUUCCAACCCUGAAAUUUGAAGCCUUCCUUGAAGUUGGUUGAGUUUCCCCAACUGCUUAAUAUCAAAUUCACGCUGCUCUCCCACAACAAAAUCAGUCAGCAUCUCAAGAUUGUUUAACCCUCCUAUCUUCAUUGGCAUCUUCAUUAUAUGAGUGCCUUGCAGAUUAAGAUGACGUAGAUUGACGAGUUUGCAAAAAUCUGAAGGGAGCUCAGUCAGUUUAAAACAACCUUGCAGUAAGAGUGUCUGCAAAUUAUACAGCAUACAAAUGGAAUCAGGUAAGCUUGCAAUCUCGGUGUAAGAAAGGUCUAGAUAGCGCAGAAGCUUUAAAUUUCUUAUCUCAUCAGCUAGCUCUAUGAGAUUGCAACCAGAGAAAGACAACACCCGCAAAUAUUUUACUCUUGAAAACAAAUUAUGCUGCACAUUGGUGCUUAUCCUAAAACGUUGGUUGCCAUAGCCUUGUGCUUCUACCAUCAGACUGUGUAGUCCCUUAAUUUUAAGAAUAUGCUCUAGUUUUCUAUCACCAUCUUCCAAAUCAAGGCAGCACCAAAUCUGGCGCGUCCUUUCAGGGAUAUCUUGCAGGUUAUCACCCUCUAUUCUUAAGCGAAAUUCUCCUGACACUAAUUUCGCUAAAUCAUAUACAAGAUCAUGCAUGAUGAAGUAGUAUUUACCAGCCCAUAAUGGCAUAAUUGUUGAUUGCUGGAAAAAUGUUAUUGACACUAGAUCGUUGAAGAAUUCAUUACCCAACUCUUCUUCACUUUUGUCUCUUCCGCAACACUUCAGCAAACCUUCUGCCAUCCAAAGCUUGAUUACUUCACCCUUCUCAAACUCAUAGCCCUUUGGAAAUAAAGAACAAUAAUCAAAACAAUGCUUCAGAUUGGAAGGGAGGUUAAGGUAACUCAAUUUCAAUAAAGGGUUAAUGUUGUUAUUACCCUCUGGUAAACGCCAGAAAUCAGUCUCCAACAUCUUAACCCAAUCAGGUUCAGAGAACUUUCUUUCCAAGAGAUUCCCCAAUGUUUUCAGAGCUAAAGGCAACCCUUCACACUUUUGUACUAUUUGUUUGCCUAUCAAUUCCAGAUUUGGAUAUUCAAAUACUUUUCUUCCUAGAAAGGCAUGUUUCACAAAUAAACUCCAACAAUCACUCUCCUUCAAUUGUUUUAAAUGAAGUAGUUGCGUAGAUCUUAUGAUUGAUGCUACUUCCAUAUCAUGUGUUGUCACAAUCAUCUUACCUACUGAAGAUUCACGGCUAAAAGGAAGUAGGAAAUGCUCCCACAUAUUCCUAUUUUUGUUCCUGACAUCAUCUAAAACGAGCAAAUAUUGCUUGCCCAUUAACCUCUGUUGCAACUGAUGUUGGAGUAUUUCCAAGUCUUCACUAUCUGCCGCCGAAGAAUGAAUUGACCUAAGAAUUGAUUGGGUCAGACGAACAAGAUCAAAAGAUUCCGAAACAUGGACCCAAGCUUUAAUUUCAAAAUGCUCCACGAUCAUGUCGUCAUAGUAAACAAGCUGGGCGAGGGUUGUCUUACCCAUCCCAAUCACACCCACUACACUGAUUAUGGGUACUUGGUUGCGACUGUCACUGUCGGAAAGUAAAUAGUCGAUUAUUUCGUAUUUCUCAAGCUCUCUAUCAUAUAUGAAAGAUUCAUAGACCAAAGAUAUAGUAGGUAAUAUUCGGGAAGUGGCUCCAUCUUCAUUACUAGCACGAGUUGCAUCUUCAAGUCCUAAAUAACUUAUUUGAUCUGCAAUAAACUUUAGCCUCUUCAGCAAUACUUUAAUCCUAGAUUCAAAUAUCUUCUUUCGUUGUACAUCAGUAGCAAUCAUAUCCAAUAUUUUCUCUACUUCCUCUACCUCAAGUUUGAGAUCAUUAAGCCAAUUCCUCACGUUCUUGUUACGGUACUGCUUUGCCUUUGCGUCAUCCAGCACUUUAUUGAUAGAAACCAGUGUGAUUUCAAGUUUUUUCUCCACAUCUACAUGGACGUAAUCUCUGCAAUCUGUUGAAGCUAACCUCUCAAAAAUCACUCGAAAGACAGACGAAAGAAAUGUCCCACCAACAACCUCUGACAUGAUCUGAGCGAGCGUGGUUCAAAACUAUGGGAGACUAUCUACAAGAAUAGAUGGUUAUAUAAUCUUCUAUAUACUUAAAACGAACAAGUCUACAAUGGUAGUAUAGUAUUGUUUUAUUAACAUAAUUUUAAUGAUAAAGUAAAUAAAAAGACAUGAUUAUAAUGAAGUUUGAUUUCACAAAAAAUACCUAGUCAAUAGUUAGAGUCUUUUAUUGUAUAAUCUGACUUAAGUGAUUAAUAAACUUUAAGAAAAAACCGCCCGAGUUUAAAUCUAGCUUUAACAUAAAUUGAAUUCUAAGGUUUCCCUACAAUUGAAUUCAAACCUUGCAUAUAUUAUACAUUGUUCCUACCAACUGAGCUAAGCUCACUAAGACCAUUAGAAAAUAGUCUAUUCACAAUAACAAAUAUUCAUAGAUACUCUAAUGUACCCCCACUGUUUCACAAUACUUGUCCAUUUUAAAGAAAUUAUACAUAUCAAAUAAAUGUUUGUCAUUUUUUAUAAUUUUUUGUGUUUUUUCUCUAAUACCCUUACUCAUUUAUUAUUUCAUUCUGUUAUUUCUCUCUCAACAAUAAAGUUAAGGAUAUUAUUGAUAAAUCAAUGAUUAAUGUUGCAUUGAAACUUAAAAGUGACAAGUAAAGUGAAACAAAAUUAUUCUCCAAAAUGGACAAUAUUGUGAAACGGAGCGACUAUAUACAUAUACAUACUCUCUAAUAACAAGCUAACAACUCAUAACUUAAUACAAUCCUUAAUCAGAUACCUCUGAAUAUACAAAGAUUAUGAAUGUAAGAGAGGGAAAGUUACCUGAAUGAGACUGGGAUCAAUCGCCAAAAAGAAAGAAUAUAGAACGAAUGAAGGAAGGUGAUGUAGAAUAGAGGCAUAAAAAUGAUAUGAGACACUUUUUUUGUUUCCCGCGUCAACGGAACAAAAAUUCAACACCUCACCUACCAUAUUUAUGUAUCAAGACUACGACUUAGUGUACCUUAGUCGUUUUAAAGUUGUGUGCGGUUCUCAAGGAAAUGAUUCUUUGAGUUGAUUGAAAUGGUGAAAUUAAUAUUUUCUCCGUCCCGGUAGGGAAGCAUCUAAUGACUAAAAUUUUGUUUAACGUUAUCAAAUUACGAGAUGCAUUUGUUAUUUUUUUGUCUAGAGAAAAUUUUUGUUUCUAUUUAACUGUCCCUUUUAAAGUUCAAUUUAACAUUAAAUUUUGUUUUAUCAAUAUUGUUCUUAGUUAUUUAUUACAGAGAGAGAAAUAUAUGAAAUGAAAUAUUAAAUAAAUAAGGUCAUUAUAGUAAAAUUAUAGCUUAUUGCAUCAAAUGUAGUAUCAAUUGUUGAUGGUCUUGGUUUGUGUAAAAUAUCAAAAUGUGACAGUUAAAAAGAAACGGGGAUAAUAUUGAAAUAUAAAAAGUCAAAUUUAAUACAUAUUCAAAUGACAAUUUGAUAAUAUAAACACAUAAAACUUGUUCAAAAAAAUAUAAACACAUAAAAGAAACACAUUAAUAGCACUAACAACAUUUUUUAAGAAAUAUGAAAAAGGUAAAAGAGGUUUAUAUAUAGGGAUGGAUGGAGUAUAAUUUACUAAAACACCAACACUCUUUUUAAUUGUAGUUGUUGGAGUGAAAUUCAAUAAAUAAGGGUAUAUUCCGAUGUUUUUGGUUCAAUUUGUGACCCGAGAUCACCCCUAUUUAUAUUUCUCUCUAUUUCAAUCUAAAUGAGUGAUUUUAAGAUAAAUCAAUGUUUUUUUUUCUUCGUUAUUUUGUCGUUUGAGUGUAACAUUCUUUGAUUUCCCUAUUUUGAUGUGGUGUUCAGUUGGUUUAUAUUGAAAGAUCAAAUAUUCAAUCAAUGAUUUGAACGACAACAUUGUAGAUCCAAAGGCAUGAAUAUUUCCGUCAUUUUAAGUUUAUCAUUUUUUUUUUUUUGAGAGAAAGUUUAUCAUAUUGUUUAUAAGUCAUUUUGUCAUUGUAUGCUAUUAACUUAGAUAUUGUGAGUUUGUUUGUAAAUUCAUCCUUUACAUUUUUUAUCGAUGUUGAAUAAAUGAAUAUCAUUUUAUAUUUGUAAAAAAAAAAAGGAAUGGAUUUUUUUGUUUAUAAAAUAAAAAAUGAGCAAUGCAUUUUCUAUUAAGGACGAAUGUCAUUCGUGAAAUUUCGAAUGGACAGACAUUGUACUAUUUAGCAGCAAUCUUCAGGUCGCUAAACUACUUGGCCAGAAAGAAGAUAAAGAUAGUAUGCCCAAUGCUUAUGACCAAUGACCACUUCAUUCACAGUUAGUGCAUUCAUAUGGAUUUUUCCUUCCCACAAAAAUAUUACAAAACAUAUACAAGGAAAUUCAAAAUUUGGACAAAGGAGUGCACAAUUAAAAAUUAUUGAGAUCUCUAUUCCGAUUCAAGCAUAAACAUUCUCCCAAUUUCUUUGAAAAUCUUACAAAUAUUUUUGUAUUUCUCUUAGGUAAUGGCCCAUUGUUGAUGAUAGGUGAUGGUUCCAUCUUCACAUCAAGUGAUGGUUGCACUUCAUCUUCAAGUAAUGACUCCCUUUUCACAUUAGAUGAUGGUUGCACUUCCAGUUCAGGUAAUGGCUCCAUCUUCACAUCAGGUGAUGCCUCCCUUUUCACAUUAGACGAUGGUUUCACUUCCAGUUCAGGUAAUGGUUCCAUCUUCAUAUCAGCCGAUGGCUGCACUUCUUCUAGUGAUGGCUCCGUUUUCACAUUAGAUGAUGGUUGCAUUUCCGGUUCAGGUAAUGGCUCCAUUUGCACUUCACUAGAUGGUUUAACUUCCACAGUAAUUGAUGGCUCAAUUUGCAUAGCACUUGACUCGGCAUAUGUUAGAUAGACAACUGUCUUCUUAACAGUCAAUCCAUGCCCAAAAGCUACAAAAAUCCCCACACUGUCCCCAACUGCUAAAUUUGAUAUUACACUCUGCCAAUCUUCAUCGUUAAAGGACAUUACUGUGUCUCGCUUGUAUAUAUGAAACGUGCAUUUUGUGUAAUUAAUGAUCAAAACACCAGUGAGACAUUCAGUUUCCAUGUUUUCAGGUGUCGAUGAAUAAACAACAUAUAAAGUUAUUCCCUUCAAGCAACCAUCACAAUCCUCGGGCACUUCAAACCGUACUGAAGGUCCUUCAUUUGUAUAGGCUAACCAAGAAGGAUAAUUGUCGCCCGGAAGGAAAGAAUCACUAGAAUCAUUGGUUGUCAAUCCCUGUAUCAUGAACAUAUGCUUUGUUAUUAUUUAUGUAAUUAUGCUAUGAAAAUGGUCGUUUUGUACCAUUUAUAGUGUCAAAAUAGUGCACCUUCACUACACAGAAAAAUAUAUACAAGGUAACCCGCUUUAAUGAAAACAGGCAAUAGUUUUGUAACACACCCAUCAACAGUUACAGAUUUAUGCUUUGAUAAUAGCUGUAAAACUGAUAUGUCAUACGCCAUGCCAUACACAUCUUUUAACUCGUAAUUGCCAAUAUUCUCAUGUUAUUAUUAAUUACUACAAGCUCUUAACUUCAAUUUUUUCUAGUUGUUAUCCUUAAAAGGUAAUGUUAUGGAGACAAUUGGUUUACUUUCCUAAAUUCCUACCAACAUAGAGGAAAGAAGUGUUUACGCAGUUCUUGGUCAAUAGUAGUACUAUACUAAAAAAAUAUCUGAUAAAAAGACUUAGGGAAAAAAAGAAGCAAAAUGCAUUAAACAUUCUCAAUCAACACAAGACGUGUACUGGUCAAAUCAGAAUACGCUAACAACAGCAAAGAUCCGUCCCAAAUACAAACAAGAAAACACAUAACAGCCAGCAUAUCCCAAUUUAACUGCACCAUAUGCUAACUAAAAAACAAAUGCAGCCAAAUAUGAACACCACCUUGAAACAUAGCCACAGUAAAUACAAAUACCAAACACAAAAAAUGCAGGCCAGGAUUCAACCAGAGCCACUCCAAUUCAAAAGAAAAACCCCUUAAUGCUUCCACACAAUGAACUAAUGAAUCCCUUAGUGCUUUGUAAUUCAUAAUAAGAAGAUCCAAUACAUUGAUCACUUCAACACAAAUAUAAUUUUAAUCUUAAACCUGCAUAGCCUCAAGAAUUAUUCAACUACCCUUUUCAAGUUAAACAUAUGUACUGUGUAUGAGUAAGCUCAGAGAAUGAAGAGAAAAAUGUAAUAAAUAUGAACAUUAAACAAAUAAAAGUAACAGAAAUGAAGUUAAAGAAAAAUAAAUUGAUUUAAUUUCUAUGUCACAUGCCGGAUGAUACUUUAUCUCAUAGAUAUUUGAAUAAAUCUGUAUCUUCAAGAAACUUUUACAAUAUAAAGAAAAAUAAUGAAAAAUAGAAAUUCAUUCCAUUUCCCUUAAACAAUUAUAGAUAUCAGUAAAGGUGAGAGGAUAGAAGAGGAACCUGUGAUAAGCUCUUGCCAAGAGUAUCGACGACUAUGUGGCAACUUCCCAUUGUAAUCAAAAGAGAUUUCAAGGAAAUAUCCGAGAUUUUUGAUGCAUGUGAUGUUUCCGAUUCAGUAAGAUUUGCACCAUAUAGACCAUCAAGAAAACUUGUUAAUUUUUGAAUUAGUUGAAUCACUGAUUGGCAUUCUACCCUAACGCUUCUAUGUUCUGAACAACUACUGCGCAUUGAUGAUUGAUAACCCAAAACCAAAUUAUUACUCUCUACAUCCAAGGAUGUGAGGGGAAUAUAUGGCAAGGGAUUCAUUGUUGGUGACAUCCAAGACCAAAUGAGAGAAGGAAAAAUAUCACGUGAUAAUCCUUCAUAUCCGCAUAGGGAUAUAUACACAAUGCUUUUUGAUCUAACAAUGGAAAAGGGUGCUUGUUUGACGCCAGUAUUUGCUGCAACUAGAGUUGUCAAGGAUUUCAUUUGCACUAUAUCUUCCUCCAAUUUGUCAAUCUUUGAACAACCAAAAAGAAUGAGAGUUUUCACAGAUAUCAGCUGAUAGAUCUCCCUUGGUAGAUUGCCAAGACUUGUACAGUCCUUCAAAUUUAUCAGAAGAAGCUUCUUGAGAACUCCAAUGGACGGGUGUAUCUCGGACAAACUUGGACAAUCCUUCAUAAUGAGCUUUUCUAGAUUCGGUAAUUUUGAAAAGUCAGGGGUACUUUUCAAGUACUUGGAAUGACUGAGAUUGAGUAUUUUUAGCUUGUCCAACAACUGCGAGAACAUAAUUAAUUAAAGAAAAGUUAGAGAGGAAAAUGCGAAAUGAAAAGGUAGCAGGAGAUACUAUUGUCAUCAACCUGAGUUUUAUAAUAAAAUGUUAUCAUACCUUGGUUUCCUUCCAAACUUGUUUAACAUUGCUAAAUUUUAAUUCUAAAACAACUAGAUUUCCUUGAUAAAAGUCUUUCGGUAUACAGUUGAAGGUAGAUCGUUGCCAAUUGACCCAUCUCAGCUGUUUGGAAAGAUGUGCAAAUUCUCCGGUGAGGUCAACACAAUCAAGUUGCAAAAGUCUCAUGUUCUGCAUCUGUUGGAAAACAUUGGUACUGAAGCUAUCUCUGCCUUUACUUUGCAAGUUCAAAAUCAAUCCCUCAACUUUUUGUGUUCCCUGCAUGUGAAGGAAAAAGGCUAAGAAAAGAAGGGAAAAUGUUUUUGGUUUGACUUGAAUGAAAUGGUUUAAAUUGCUUGAGAGAAACCUCACUAGCCUUGUAAUUACAAUCAAAUCCCAAUCUAUAGGGAUAUUUACAUAAUAAAAGGAAACAAAUCUUAUACAAAUCUCAACAGUUUAUGUGUUAGAAAAUGAUAAUAAAACAAAAGAGGUGCGGCCCAAGUACACUUGUAAUCAACAUCAAAAGGAAACAAUUUUAUGCAAGAUAAUCAAAAGUUCCAACUGUAUAGAGUCAGUUCUUACCGUAUUCUUUGUCAAAACACUAUGUGCAUCCUCGUGAAGCCACAACCGACUACGCUCCCCUGGAUCGUUUGUUGAACUUCCACGAACAAUUUCUCUUCCCAUGUCUCUUAUUAAAUCAUGCAUUCCAAGCUUGUUAUUCUUUUCAACUUUUAAAAGGCUCCUCUCUAUGAGGACAGCUAUUCCUAUACCAGCAAAAAGUCCACAACCGUUUAGUAUCUCGGUAACAUAGUCUCUGUCCUUGCCGAUAAAGAAACAACAUACAUCAAGAAAUAUAGCCUUCUUUGUGUCAUCUGUCAAACCAUCAUAGCUUAUUUUCAAUUUCUCUUGCACUUCUUCAUGGGGAAUUUUUUCUAACUUUGAUAGCACACUUUUCCAUUCUUCUUUUGUCCUUUCAAAUAAGUAAGAUCCGAGGACUUCAACAGCCAAGGGUAAUCCUCCACAGUAAUUAACUACAUUUUUUGAGAGAUCACUGAAGUUUGCUCUUGGAGUUGCGUUUCUAAAAGCAUGCCAACUGAAAAGCUCAAGGGACUCAUUUUCAUCCAUUUCUUUCGCUGUACAGACACAGUCAACUUCAAGUGACCUAAGCACGUGUGCAUCUCUGGUUGUAACAAUUAGUACACUUCCCAAACCUAAACAUUUAUAAUUUCCACAUAGUGCUUUUACCUGCUGAACUUUGGUCACAUCAUCAAGUACAAUGAGCACCUUUUUUGCAGAGAGCCUUUUGUUGAUUGUAAUUGUCCCUGAUGCAAUGUUGUGUAUCUUCUCCUUUGUUUUGAAGAGAUCUGACAGAAGUUGUUGUUGCAAACGAAUAUACCCUUUAUCUGAUUCGCAUGUUUGUCUAAUAUUCUCAAUGAAACUUCUAUGCACAAAUUUGCGAUGAAUUUUAUUGUAGAUGCCUUUGGCUGUGGUAGUUUUACCCAACCCGCCCAUUCCCCAAAUCCCUACCGCAGACACUUUGCUUGAUUGAUUUUCAAUCGACAACAUCACUUGGUCCACACGGGACUCUAGUCCAACUGGGAAUUCUGUUGUAGGCAAGAAUGUGUUUUCCAGCUUUCUCAAAACUUCAUCAACAAUUUUAUUCACUAGUUCACUUUCACUCCUUCAAGUUCAAUUAAAUAACUAUGGUUAUAAAACAGAUAGAAUGAAAAGGAUAAAAAUGAUAAAAAAAAAAAAAAAAAAAAAGAAGCAAGAAACCACAAGAAAUGAUUGAUUAUAAAUAAACUAUCAAUUUGGUCCCUAAAUUAUUACUCUCUUCUGUUUGGUCUCUGAAGUUUUGAACUAUAGAAACAUAGUAAAUAGUACUUAAACUAUUUUUAUUUCAUCAAGUUAGUCCCUAAAUUAUCAUUCUCUAUCAUGUUUUUAAACCAAGUAAUGUACUAAUGUGAUGCAUUGAUAAUAGCUUAAGGACUACUUAUUGUAUUUGAGCAAAUUAAACGUUCUUUCUUGAUUUUAUACCUGAAAAUGCUGGAAUCCCAUCCGGAAAUAUUUGCAGCUUGGGUAAGAGCACGCUUCCAUGUCCGCAAAAGUUCUUGCCUCUCUUUUGGUGGGUGAAUUCUUUUGGUAAUAGCUUCUAAAGCUUUUCCAAAAUCACCCACCUGGCGACGAACAACAGAAGGGUCAACAUGGUAAAAUAUGGGGAUAACCACUGGACUGUUAUUAUUAGUUUUGCGGUGUUCCAUGAUUUUCACGAGUUCAACAAGACACCAACUAGAUUCUGUGUAGUGUUCUGAGAAAAUAACUAAACAUAUUUGAGACCCUUGUAUAGCUCGCAAUAGUUCUGGUUCUACUUCCCAUCCCUUUUUAAGCUUUUCAUCAUCAAGAAAAGUGUUGAUUCCCGCGUUUGAGAGAGCAGCAUAUAGAUGAGAAACCAGGCUCUUUCGCGUGUCUUCCCCUCUGAAAUUUAUGAACACGUCGUAGAUCCAUUGUUGAGAAAUCAAAUUGAAGGAUGAUGAUGAAGAUGACAUCGAUUCCAUGAAGUCAACACUGUUACUGUAAAGACAAAAUUACAGGGAUAGUGUUAAGAUUUAGAGUAGUAUACUUUCAGCUUAGAUUUCAUCAAAGAAAAAUGUUUGGUGGACACAAUGAUGUAUACACCUUGAGAUAUAGAAAUACGCUUAGCUUACACAAGACGCGCAAAGCUAGCCUUAAACAUACAAAAAGUAACGCAUAUAGACAAAACACAACAAUAUGCACAUAGGCAACCAAAACCAAAACAUGCCUACAAAAACCGACCCGGAAGGGAUCCACAGGCAGGACACACUAAAAACUAACUGUAAGCACCCACUGAAAGCACAAACAGAACAGCAAGUAUCGAGAUAGGUAGACUGUUACUGCAGCAGAAAAGCAACCACAACUACCCAGUGCCCAGGCAGCAAAACAGCCGCAUCAACCCCGCAGGAAUCAAGAACUCUAAAAACAGACCUGCAGAACCCGCCCCACAACACCCUUUUAUCUAAUCAUAGUUAACUUGGUUCUUAAGUAAAGUCCUAAUCAACAAGUAACUUAGUUCAAAUAAGUUUUAUGAAAUUCUUUUAAAAUAGCUUUUAAGUUUAUCAUUUUAUUUUGCACCCAAAAAAAAAAAAAGUUUAUCAUUUUAGUUAGGAAUGAAAUAAUCAUUCAAUGUUACCGAGUAAAGAAAAAGAAAAAAAAAAUUGAAAUACUACUUUUUUGUUCAUAAAUCAAACAAAUAAAACCAUACAUACUUGAGACAUUGAGAGGAGUACACUUCAAUAUCCAAUCUAACACCACCAAAUCAACCCAAAUGAUUUUUACAUCGUUCGAGUUCAAUAUAUUAAUUAAAUGAGCUCAAGUACAAAUUUAGCUUAUUUAAUUCAUAAUGAAUUGAAAUAUAUUAGAAAGAGUAAGUUGAUAAAGAUAACAGAUAUAUGAAAAUAGUAAAGAAAAUUACCUGAGCGAGUUGUUUCAAGUUUCAACUACAGAAUGAAUGAAUCAGGAAGAAGAAGAGGUUGUACUUGUAGAAAGAGAAGAAGUAUAAAAAUGAAAAUACUUUUAAUUUGUAUGAGAUGAGAUGAAUCCAGCACACACGACUCUGUUUCGCGCGUCAACGCAACAAAAGUCCCCCACCUACCAUAUUAUUAUCAAGUUUUAUUUUUUAUUCAUUUAUCCACUUGCACUUUUUCUAAUAUUUUUUCUUGUGUUAACCCUCCAAGUUUGAUCGUGAGAGAAGUUUAAUUUGAUUGAUAAUUGUUCCACUUCAAGAAUUAAACUUGAUUAUUUCCAUAAUAAUUUGUAAUUAACCACUCCAUAAUUUGUUUUUUAACAAAAACAAAAAAUGUUCAUUCAUUCAAAUCAAUAGAGUAUAUUGUUCAACACCGCUAUAAACGUAAAGGAUAAAUUUGUGAACAAACUCACAAUAUCCACAAUAAUACUCCCCCCGUUUCAAAAUACAUGUCCAACUUUUACAAUGUACACUAUUCACUUGACUUACUUUAACCAUAUUUUUUAACUAAUGUAUAAAUACAAAUAUUAACAUGUAAGAUGUUGUUUGAUUUGUCUCGAAAAAUAUUUUCAAAAUAUUAAAUUUUUAUAAUUUUUUACUUUAGAUAAUUAAAGAGAUUAACGGUCAAAAUUGUGCAUUGGCAUAUGUGAAGUGGUUGACUUGGACAUGUAUUUUGAAACGGAGGGAGUAGUAUACAACGACAUAAUGACUGUAGAAAUAUAUGAUAAAAUUAAAUUGACUGGAAUACAUGUCUCCAUAUCUACAACAUUGACGCUCAAAUCUAUGAUUGAAUAAUCGAUCUUUCAAUAUGAAUCAAAUGAACACAUAACGGAAAAUCAAACAACAUCGCACAAAACGACGAAUAAUAUACCACCACACUUAGAUGAUGAAAUCACGGAGAAAAUGUCACGACCCAACUUCUAGCCGUGACCGGCGCACAGACUACUGAUACAUAAAAUCUGGCCAGCCUAACAAACCACACUUGACAAAAAUCUUGUGAAUAAAUAGUACACUCUGAAACCAAAACUUACUAUAAUUUGGCAAAGUAUAUUUCUAUCUUCAACAUUUUCAAAUUAAAAACCUUGCUUACAAACAUAUGCCAUCAAGCUGAAUUUGAGAGACUACAUAUCCAAAGUUUGUAUAUCCCAAAAUAAUAGUAUUCCUAGACUCAAAUAGCUGCAGAUACACCAACGACUCAAGAUAUAAUUCAAAAGAGUCGUUCAUCAAGGAGUAGAGGCCUACCAAAAGAGGGACUCUGCUGAAUCGGUAAUCUUCUAGAAACAUAAAUUCACCUGAUUGUAAAUCUGAAGAAAAAAAAAAAGUAAGAUGAAGGGUUAAGUCACAAAGACUUAGUGAGAAGACAACAACCACUACCAACUAGAAGGGAAACACACAAUGGCACGAAUAGUUAUUUUUCUCAAAUCUAAUUUUUAACUUACAAGGCUAGUAACUGUAUAAAAAUAUAAUAAAUUCGCAAUCAAGUGUACCAUGAAAAUUCAUAAAACUUGGUAAUUUUAUCAAACCAAAUAAGGCUAUAUCAGAAUUUCAAUGUCGUCGUCAAGAGGUGAAAACCAAAUCCACAACUUUAAAGAAAAUAUAUAAAUCGAUUAUAAUGAAAAAGAAUCGAGAUAAUCAAGUCCAAAUAGAAUAUAAAAAUCGGGCUUAACGAAAUGGAACCAAAAUAAUCACUUCAAAGAAAAUAUAAAAUCAUAUUCAAUUUCAUAAUACCAAAAUAAUCAACUUUAAAUAAAGUUUAGAAAUCUAACUUUGGUGAAAAUAAUCAAAGGGGUGAAUCGAGAACUAGCUCCAUCUCGUUGAUAGCCAUCUCCUCCUAAUGGUGGCCUUUCCAUGGGGCGGCUCCAUCUAACGGAUAGCUCUUUUCUCUCGACUCAAAACAAAGUGUAAAACAUUUUCAAUUAGGGAGUUUACCUCUCAUUGAUAGCCCUCUCCUCCUAAUGGCGGCCUUUCCAUAGGGGCGGCUCCAUCUAACGGGGUAAUUCUACCUAAUUGAAAUCACAUACUAGGUGCACCUAGGUCGUCGUCAUUAUAACCAUAAUUUUCAAAACACCAUUCUUAAAACACAAUGCUAAGACCAUAUUUCACAACAUAACAAAACUUAUUUCAAAAUACGUAUCAUCAAAACUCAAUUGAAAAUCUACUACUUAUAAUCAUAAGUAAAUCCAAAUUCAAAUCCAAAUCCAAAUCGCGUACAAAUUAAUAUCAAAUCCUUUCAAAGACGCAUAUUUCAAAACCACGUUUCACAACAUAUCAAAACUACUGGGAAAAUACAUACAAUCAAAUUCUCCAUUUCAAUCCCUCUACUUUAUAAAUCGCAAGUAAAAUCCAAAUCCAAAUAGAGCGCAUAUUAAUAUCGAAAGUUUCCAAAAACAUAUAUUUCAAACCGUAUUUCCCAUAUCUCCAAAACACAUGUCAAAAUAUAUGCAUCCAAAUCUCAAUUUCAAACAUUGGCCCAACAAAUCAUAGAUAAAUUCAAACAGAGACCAUAAUAAUAUCGAUGACUUUAAACAUGAGCAUCAUUGAGAAGAAAAAGUUCAAAGGGUGUGUUCCCCAUUUUUUUUUAUAAACACUUUAACAUAGAAAAUUAUAAAAAUAUCAAUAAUAUUAAUAGGGAAAAUAUGCGAUAAUGAUCGUUAUCAACUCACAGUUAUGACGAAUCAACUCAAUUGCGCUGCAACAACUCCUUAUUGUACAGAAAAGACAGCAACAGUUCCCUUCUCAUAGCCUUCUAAGUGCAUCGACACUAGCUUCUAAAUCUCUUUUUUUGCUUCAAUCUUCAAGUAUUAACAUUCUUCUAGCUUCCAUCAAAUUUCUAGCUACCAAAUCAACUCAUAAGCAUGGCAUACAAGCCCUCAAUGUAGGCCACAAGAACUAAAACAAAAUUGGGGUUUGAUUUGUAGUUCGAAUAAGUUUUCUAGUUCAAGAAGAAUUGAAAGAUGGUGAUUCGGUGAUUAACUAAAGGAACAUAAGUGUGAUGCUAGAUAUUGGUGAUUUGGGGUUGUCCUUGUCUAUCUCCUUUUUCAUAUACUAUGGCUGGCUAUCCUAUCCUAAUCUAUUAAUGACUCUUAAAGUUUGAAAAUUGAUGGCUUGAAUGAGAAAAUGUAGAAGAAUGAAAUGAAAAAGGAUGAUGAAUAAUGGGGUAGUGGGAACACAGAGAAAGGGAAAGGUUAGAUGGAAGAGUGGAAAGAGAGAGAAAACUCUCGAUUCUUCCUUACAUCUAUAUAUAUAUAUAUAUAAAUAAAUAAAAAAUCUUUUUCUGAACACAUUUUCUUUUUCUUUCUUUUAUUUAUUUUUUAUUUUGAAAAAAAUGAUAUGGUGCGUUUCAGAAAAAACCUCGAUCUAUGUGAAAAUCACCUAUCUAGAUUGAAACAUAGAGAAAGAGAUGAAAAGGGGUGAUAAUAAACUAAUGACAUGGUAUAUGAUGAACGGUGAUAUUUUUUUCCAAUUUUUUUAAUAUAGAAAAAGGUUUUUCUAACAUAACAUUUAGAGAAAUGCUAGGUUUGAUUUUUGUUGGAGAGAGAAAAAGAAAAAGAAGAGAGAGAAGAGCGUUGAGAAACAACAUAGAUGGGUUUGGAUCUGAAUCAAGUCUUCAAUAUGAUGGAAUUUCAAUGGAAUUUCCUUACUUAUAUAACUGUUAAUAUUAGCCAUCAGUGUCUGAGUUGAUUGUUUGACAAACAAAGCGUGAACGUGAGCAAACAUCCUUGGAUUUGGAAUCAUAAAUGGAUAUAAAGAAAACUUUGUCAGUAGGGAAGUCUUCAAACUUAUAACCCUAGAGGUUGGAAACGAGAGAUGUUCUAGAAAAUAAAAUUAUCAGGAAAGAUGAAUAAUUUUCCUUACCUAGUCAAAAUCUUCAAAAAUAUUGUGGAAAACUGAGUUAUUUUACAAAAACAUGAUUCAUGAGAAAUGUUGUAUUAGUAUUUUAUCAAAACCAACGAUCUCUACCACACACAGAGGUGCAUGCACAUGUUGAAUAACACGCAGCGCGACAUUGGAACAUCAAAGAAAGACAGAAUGGUCUUACUUAGCCAUCUGUGAACCGCAUUUCCUCAUCUCCGUAAAUGUCAUCAUUCAAAUUCUAACAGAAAAUUACAUAUAGUUAUGCUGUAAGCAUUAACAUAUAAAAAGUCUUGUAAAAGAUAUAAACAAACAUAAUUGAUCUACAUAAUAAUAUUGAAAUACUUCUGAAUAGACAUGACUAUCUUUAAAGUGUAACCUGAACCAAAUUUUGUUGAAUAUACGGAAUGUGAAAAGGUGGUUCACAUAAUUGAUCUACAUUAUUCUCGGCCAAAUGAAAAUUACAGAAAUUCAUUAAAAGAAAGAGGUACUGGACCAGAUGAGCCUUCAUUAGUGCUGAAGCAGGGAACUUGGAUUUUAUGGGAAACAGUCACAAGAAUAACGAAGAUGGGAUUAUAUAGUGAAUUAUAUUAAAAAGAAUUACAAACGCAUCAAGCCUCAGCAGUGAACUCAUAUCCAAAUGGGGUGCCUACAAUUAAACCAAGCAUGUGUUUUGUGGAUGUGGAACAAACAGACAACAGUGACAUCCUUCUGGUUACGUGUAAGAGCAGUGGUCGUGCCAUUCAUCUGGUCACGAAUGGGAAUGGAUGGCACCAACAGCAUGGUUUCAGGUCACAUGUAAGCUGUCAGAAACAGUAUUGCAAAAUAUAUCAGUAUAUCACAAAUACAUGCACUGUUAAGCCUAAAAGGCUAAAACAUAGUAUCUUGUGCAUUACUUUACUAUUUGAGCAAAAAUUCACUAUUGUUUGACUAAAAUAAACAGAUUAUUGAAUGUGGUGCACCUGGAUACAAUAACAUCUGAUCUCAGCCUCAAAUCAAGAAAUUGUCACGGAAGGGAUGUGACAAAUUCUAUGCCAACGCUCUCCUUGCUCCAUUUGGUACAAUUUCUUAAGUAAUGGACAGUCAUGAAUGGACAAAGUAGAAAGGGAGCUGGGUAGAUCCUCCUCCGGCAAGCGUUCAAGACAAGGGCAAUCUUCAAUAUAUAGAGAUUCAAGCGAAGUGAGGUGGAGAAGACCCUUGUAGUUUAUUAUUUUUAGGUUGGAACAAUUUGUCAACUCGAGAGAUUUAAUAGUUGAUGGCAGCAGACUCUCCUCUGGAAAGGACUCCAAGAUAUUCAAAUCAUCACUAACACAUAAUUGUUUUAGAGAAUUGAGUUGGAACAAACCCCACUCCUCUCUAGAAGCCGUCAAGUUUGGACAUCUUUCUAUUCGGAGGCUGCCUAGGUUGGAAGGCAACUGCCUCCCAAAAAAUGAUUCCAGCCAUGGACACUCAUACAACGCGAGAGAAUGAAGAUUGGUGAACAAUUGUAGUGUAAAAGGAAAUGAGGAAGAGUGCCAACCUGUUAUAGUUAAAGCACGAAGAGAAUUACAGCUACACAUGUCCAAAGAGGACCAUUCUAGAUUUGGACCAAAGAAGUCUUCAACUUCCAAUUCUUCAAGAAUGGCACAGUUAAAUAAAAUUUGCUCUAGGGAGGAUCGAAUGACCUGAGUUCCACAAAGGAUGACUCUUUUCAAGGUAGCUGGCAACUCAUUUAUCAAUAUGUCAUCACAUCUCUUUAGUUCUAGCUCACUGAUAUUAGCAGCCAUCGGAAUUGAAGCCGCCAACUCUUGGCAAUCAAUAAUCUCCAAUUUUUGCAAAGAAGGAAGGUGUUGAGGCAGGGAACUUUUCAACUUGGGACAAUGUUUUAUACAAAGCUCUUGAAGCAAAGGGAAACAUUCAAGACAUAACCAUUCCUUCCAUUCGGACAUGUGCUCAAAUCGCAAAGUUUCAAGGGAUUUAAAUGAAACAUUUGAUG